GGGGUUGUAGCUCAGUGGUAGAGCACACGCCUCGUACGCAUGAGGUCUUGGGUUCAAUCCCCAGUACCUCCA